UCACCUCGCUCUCCCUGCGCCUCUCUCCUUGGCCUAGCUAGACAAGUGCUUCUCACGGUGGUGUCUGAUCCGUCAGGCUCUGCGCUUCUCUCUCGGAUCCAUCCUCAAUGUCCAGGCAGGACUCUCACAUGAAGCCGGUGCUGUCUGCUGUUCACUCUAAGAUGUCCAGCCACUCAGGACAGUUACGAUCUGUCAUCCAGGGCCCAAACCGACUCUCCUCUAUUGCUAUCUGAGGUAGGCAGUCUCCUCUGUGACGUCGGUCCCAUCCAUACUGCCUAGAUCCCUGCGCAGGAAGACUGAGAUGAGGACCCUAGGAGACAGCAGCCAGGGAUAGCGAAGGUGGAGGAUGAGUAUAAAUAGCGACCGCAGCGCGAUCAGAGAAGCUCCCUUACCCCCACCCAUCGCAGUGGGAGUGAGUCUUCAGAUCUACCCCCAAGACAACGAAAUCCUACCCGGGCCAUUGAAGGGAAACCUCCACUCCAACCCCUAGAAGACGCCUUAGAUGAGAAAGCGAAGAGACUCUUCCACCUGUAUGCCCAUCUUCAUAGACCGGCCCAUCACUGGUGCCUCAAGCAUUUUCACUAUCACAGCCAGUAACCUGCAGACUCAACCUCAAGCCUACUUUGUACUUUGGUAUAAACUGCAUGGAUACCAAUCCCUUUUCACAGGUUUUCAUUUCCUGGUCUCCCAUAGGAUCCAGGAUGAGUAUCCUCCCAUUUGACCAGUUCCAUCCCAGUAUGGAGCAGAUAUCCCUUGUAAAGAACACAGUCUCCACCAGCCCACCUGCUUUUAUGGUCAACAGCCCUACCUGAAUUUACAACAUUGCCUUUUGACCCAAGAAACACCUAUCACCUGAAAUCUAGGGUUCCAGACAGGCCUCAACAGGAAACCACCCUCUUCAAUGCCCUGUCUUUUCUGGCCCACCUACCACUGCUUCUGCAGUCACCUCCACUAUAGUAAGCAGACCCUCUUCAGACUUGGCAUCCAAGCCUGCCUUUGACUCUGAUGAAAUCAACAUGGAUACCAUGCCCAUUUCCCCAUCUGUUAUCUUCCUGUCUCUCCCUGCAACGUUAACAGCUGUUUCCCUUUGAAGAACCUGGCAGCCCCCAAAAAUCCUUCCUACUUAACCUCUACUGCAGCCCUGGAACCCAAUGACAGCACCAGUCAGCUUUUGGGAAUUUGACUCCCCCAUGUCCACCUUUGGUAUCUGCUAUGGUUUGAAUGUGUCAACCAAAUUUCGUGUAUUAAAAACUCAAUCCCCA
rnacentral:lncRNA from 1 species